GGCCGCGGGAAUUGGAUUCAGGCCUAACACAUGCAAGUCGAACGGUAAGUAUUUUAGCAAUAAGAUACGAGAGUGACGUACGGGUGCGUAACACGUAUGCAACCUACCCUUUACAGGAGGAUAGCUCGGGGAAACUCGAAUUAACCCUCCAUAAUAUAAUUGGAUGGCAUCAUUUGAUUAUUAAAUUUUCGGAGGUAAAGGAUGGGCAUGCGUCUGAUUAGUUAGUUGGCGGGGUAACGGCCCACCAAGACGAUGAUCAGUAGGGGAACUGAGAGGUUGAUCCCCCACACUGGCACUGAGAUACGGGCCAGACUCCUACGGGAGGCAGCAGUAGGGAAUAUUGGUCAAUGGAUGGAAGUCUGAAAGAGCCAUGCCGCGUGCAGGAAGAAGGCCUUCUGGGUUAAAGGUGCUUUUGCCAGGGGAAAAAAACUCAUGCGGAGAAAUGAA
rnacentral:rRNA from 1 species